UUAGAUGUCCAUUUUCAAAAAUGCCCCUUUUUAAAUCUGAAAAUUUUAUAAAGUUUUAUUAGGUUUAUAAGGUACUUAUGGAUUGUAACUACUACUUGAAGACUCGAUCCAAGUAUUUAUAAGGUUUUAUAAGGUGUUUUUAAAGGUUUUACAAGUUAUUUUAAAGUAUUUUUAAGGCUUUUCAAAGGUUUUACAAGAUAUUUU
rnacentral:lncRNA from 1 species